UACGAAGGGGGGCUAGCGUUGUUCGGAAUUACUGGGCGUAAAGCGCGCGUAGGCGGUGAUCUUUGUCAGAGGUGAAAGCCCGGGGCUCAACUCCGGAAUUGCCUUUGAAACGGGAUUGCUAGAGUCCGAGAGAGGAUGGCGGAAUUCCUAGUGUAGAGGUGAAAUUCGUAGAUAUUAGGAAGAACACGGUGGCGAAGGCGGCCAUCUGGCUCGGUACUGACGCUCAGGCGCGAAAGCGUGGGGAGCAAACAGGG
rnacentral:rRNA from 1 species